CCUACGGGGGGCUGCAGUGGGGAAUAUUGGACAAUGGGCGAAAGCCUGAUCCAGCCAUGCCGCGUGUGUGAAGAAGGCCUUCGGGUUGUAAAGCACUUUCAGUGGGGAAGAAAGCCUUGGGGCUAAUACCCUCGAGGAAGGACAUCACCCACAGAAGAAGCACCGGCUAACUCCGUGCCAGCAGCCGCGGUAAUACGGUGGGUGCGAGCGUUAAUCGGAAUUACUGGGCGUAAAGCGCGCGUAGGCGGUCUGAUAAGCCGGUUGUGAAAGCCCCGGGCUCAACCUGGGAACGGCAUCCGGAACUGUCAGGCUAGAGUGCAGGAGAGGAAGGUAGAAUUCCCGGUGUAGCGGUGAAAUGCGUAGAGAUCGGGAGGAAUACCAGUGGCGAAGGCGGCCUUCUGGACUGACACUGACGCUGAGGUGCGAAAGCGUGGGUAGCAAACAGGAUUAGAUACCCGGGUAGUC
rnacentral:rRNA from 1 species